UAUUUAAUUUCUUUUUUAUUAUUUAAUUAUUAUGAUUUUGAUUGCUGAACUAUUAAAUUUGUGAUGAUCUAAUUGAUGAAAUUAACUCUAGAUGCCUGGAUUAAUGAUACUUGGAUAUAAGUGUGGUGUGGUUGCAAUUUGUUGGUGAUUAUGGAUGAAGCUAACUCAGUGCCAACGAUGUAUCGGACAGACCAGCAUACUACAUCAGAAAAAGACUUCAGUCAUGUGCCACAAAAUCUGUUUUAAUAUGUUUCUUGCUUUUAAUUUGUUUUGAUGGAAAUUAGGACCUUUAGAAUGGGGACAUACCACUUUAGAAUGUUUGUUUUGAUGGAAAUUAUGAACUUAGAUGCAUGCUGGAAAUCGUGCAACCUUUGAUUGAAUGGAAUGUUAUUGUGUUA